rnacentral:rRNA from 1 species
AACGAACGCUGGCGGCAUGCCUAACACAUGCAAGUCGAACGAGACCUUCGGGUCUAGUGGCGCACGGGUGCGUAACGCGUGGGAACCUGCCCUUAGGUUCGGAAUAACUCCCCGAAAGGGGUGCUAAUACCGGAUAAUGUCUUCGGACCAAAGAUUUAUCGCCUUUGGAUGGGCCCGCGUUGGAUUAGCUAGUUGGUAGGGUAAAAGCCUACCAAGGCGACGAUCCAUAGCUGGUCUGAGAGGAUGAUCAGCCACACUGGGACUGAGACACGGCCCAGACUCCUACGGGAGGCAGCAGUGGGGAAUAUUGGACAAUGGGCGAAAGCCUGAUCCAGCAAUGCCGCGUGAGUAUGAAGGCCUUAGGGUUGUAAAGCUCUUUUACCCGGGAUGAUAAUGACAGUACCGGGAGAAUAAGCUCCGGCUAACUCCGUG